rnacentral:rRNA from 2 species
UGGCUCACGACGAACGCUGGCGGCGUGCCUAAUACAUGCAAGUCGAACGAACUCUGUAUUGAUUGGUGCUUGCAUCAUUAUUUACAUUUGAGUGAGUGGCGAACUSUGAGUAACACGUGUGGAAACCUGCCCAGAAGCGGGGGAUAACACCUGGAAACAGAUGCUAAUACCGCAUAACAACUUGGACCGCAUGGUCCGAGCUUUGAAAGAUGGCUUCGGCUAUCAYUUUUGHAUGGUCCCGCGGCGUAUUAGCUAGAUGGUGGGGUAACGGCUCACCAUSUGCAWUGAUACGUAGCCGACCUGAGAGUUUAAUCGGCCACAUUGGGACUGAGACACGGCCCAAACUCU